rnacentral:rRNA from 1 species
GUAGGUGGCAAGCGCUGUCCGGAAUUAUUGGGGCGUAAAGCGCGCGCAGGCGGUUCUUUAAGUCUGAUGUGAAAGCCCACGGGCUCAACCGUGGAGGGUCAUUGGAAACUGGAGAACUUGAGUACAGAAGAGGAAAGCGGAAUUCCACGUGUAGCGGUGAAAUGCGUAGAGAUGUGGAGGAACACCAGUGGCGAAGGCGGCUUUCUGGUCUGUAACUGGACGCUGAGGCGCGAAAGCGUGGGGAGCAACCAGGAUUAGAUACCCUGGUAGUCCACGCCGUAAACGAUGAGUGCUAAGUGUUAGGGGGUUUCCGCCCCUUAGUGCUGCAGCUAACGCAUUAAGCACUCCGCCUGGGGAGUACGGCCGCAAAGGCUG